AUGAGCGCCUGUCCACCCCAUUCCUCCUGCCGUAGCGCCAGCCACCACGUGCCUUUCAGCGCGGUCGGCAUGGAUCCGGGCUACGCGGAAACGGCAAGUGCGAGGCGCCUCCGAAUCGAUGUCGAGCCGCUGAUCCCCAUGUCCGGGACGGCGGCUUUUUUG
rnacentral:ncRNA from 1 species